rnacentral:rRNA from 1 species
UACGGGGGGGGCAAGCGUUGUUCGGAAUUACUGGGCGUAAAGGGCUCGUAGGCGGCCAACUAAGUCAGACGUGAAAUCCCUCGGCUUAACCGGGGAACUGCAUCUGAUACUGGAUGGCUUGAGAUUGGGAGAGGGAUGCGGAAUUCCCGGUGUAGCGGUGAAAUGUGUAGAGAUCGGGAGGAACACCGGUGGCGAAGGCGGGUCUCUGGGCAUUUCCUGACGCUGAGGCGCGAAAGCGUGGGGAGCAAACGGG